UUCAGACUGCAGGCUGCAACUCGCCUGCACGAAGUCGGAAUUGCUAGUAAUCGCGGAUCAGCAUGCCGCGGUGAAUACGUUCCCGGGCCUUGUACACACCGCCCGUCACACCAUGAGAGUUUGUAACACCCAAAGCCGGUGGGGUAACCUUUUGGAGCCAGCCGUCUAAGGUGGGACAGAUGAUUGGGGUGAAGUCGUAACAAGGUAAC
rnacentral:rRNA from 1 species